ensembl:lncRNA
GAGGCAUAGUGACAGCAACAAAAUGUGUUAUUUAAGUAACAUCAGCUCUCCUGGCUGAUGUCUCGUCAUUUUUACCAUGAGUGAACAACAAAACAUUUAAUUUAAUUUAUUAUGACAACUGUUCAGUUUUUUACCAGAACAUUUUGGAAUGACCUAGAAGGAUUAUAACCAACCAACUCCUCGACGAUAGUGAUUCAUAUCCAUACAACGACUGCGGAUGUGCACAUAACCCGCCCCAUAUCGGACUUUAACUUGAUUUAUGAGGAGCCUUCUGAAGAGGAUGUCACCUACACAACAGUGUACAUCAACACCAAGCACAACAGAAACAUGAAGUAGUUGAGAUGGUGUGAAGUGGAACCUCUCACAACUGAGCCUGAGAGUAUGCUGACCACCACUAGAGGGCAGACUGGAACAUGAAUCCCUGACCCUGUGCACAAGUACAAGCCAGGCAAAAAAAAAAACAUACCGUAUCAGAAAUACACACUAAUCAAUGGCCCCACAGUGGAACUUCAAUUCUUACAGAUUAUAUUUUGAGACAUUGUUGCUUUGUGUACAUAAACUUUCCCCCCAAUGUAUUUUACCUAGUCUUAUGCAGUUGGAAAUGCAUUUUACAG